GACAGAGGGUGCAAACGUUGUUCGGAAUUACUGGGCGUAAAGCGCGUGUAGGCGGCUAAGUAAGUCGGGCGUGAAAUCCCACGGCUCAACCGUGGAAGUGCACUCGAAACUGCAUAGCUAGAGUCCUGGAGAGGAAGGUGGAAUGCUUGGUGUAGAGGUGAAAUUCGUAGAUAUCAAGCGGAACACCGGUGGCGAAGGCGGCCUGCUGGACAGUGACUGACGCUGAGACGCGAAAGCGUGGGGAGCAAACAGG
rnacentral:rRNA from 1 species